AGAUGUGAAGUGAUAUCUCAGCGGUUUUGAUCUGCGUUUCCCUAAUGGUGGUGGUAGUGGUGCAGUUAAGAAACAAGAAACAGCGCAUCAUCCAAUUAGGCGGAAGCACAGGAUGGAUAUGGGAAAGCAGUAACAUCAGACAAGAAGAUCAGAUGGGAAUAAAAUUGUGGAGAGCUUUGGAUGCAGUGGAGAGCCACAGAAAAUUAUGGGAUAAGGGAGGGACAUAGGAUGAGAGCUGUAAUUAAGGAAGAGUAAUCUAUUGGUAGUGUGGAUCUUUGUGAAAUAUAUUUGAACACGCUUUGUAGGGCAACAAUAUCCAAAUAAAGAAAUCAUAUGAUUAAGAAAAACAAACAGUAAAUUCAUUUUCUGGACUUGAAGUUCCAUAUAUGUGAACAAAGUACAAUGUACGAUUGUUUUACUCAUGUGAAAUUAGGAAGGCUAAAACGAUGGAAGAUCAUUUUCUGUAAAACCAUGGUGAUUUGAAAAACUUUAAGCUAGUGGGUUUGAUCAAAUUACAUGGAAUUCUUUCAAAACCAGCCUAUUCAAUUUUACUUCUCAGUUUUCCUUCCCUACCACCAUCAUCUGGGGAAUAAGAGGGACUUGUCUUUAGUAGGCUUGAAUCCUGUAUACCACCUAUGUAAUGAAUUUUUAGCAUAUUAAGGGAGUUGAUUUUUGAAUACAAAAUUCCAUUCCUAUUAUGUGAAUGUUUUCAAGGUGUAGCUUCAAAAAUAUACAAUAUGGUUUGAAUUCUGGGGAAGGAGUGUUCAACUUUGGGGUGGCUUUAGGGGAUAACAGAUAAGUCAGAAUUUUGAAGGAACUAAAACAAAGGGAAC
rnacentral:lncRNA from 1 species